AGCAUUUCCUUCGCCUUCUGGAGAAUACAAAGGAUUUGAAUAUGCUCAACACUACUGAAUGCGACAUUUAUGUUGCUUAAUGGCUUCAGCUUUGCUGAUUUUUGAUUUGUGGCAAGUCAAUGGGACAGGUAUUUCUUUCACUCCAGACAUGAAGAGCUUCGGACAGUGUUGGAUUAAUGCGUCUGCAGUACAAAACUUCUUUCAUCAAGUCCUUAACAUAUCCUGAAAAGCAAAUCAUUAUUUAUGUUGGCUUUGCAUUGCACUUUGAGAAAAAGCUCUAACAUAUCAUAUUCACAUUUUGGGAAUACAUCACUAUGUCCCUCAUGGAUGUCACAUAUAUGGUUGAGAACUGACAACCACUUUGCCUUGACAAGUUCUUCAUCACCAUUGCUGGAAGCAGCACACCAGUAUACAUGGUUGGAAAUUGAUUGGGCCCAAUCUGACAAUAAUUUGCAACCACUUUUUUUUGAUGCUGCCCAAAUGUUCUUUUUAAUUCCUGUUGGAUUUUGAUUAUUGAUGAAAUGUGUAAAAGGAUUUGAUUUGAGCAUGUCUGUCUGUGGUCAUUGACUUCACCUUCAUCCCACUUUCAUCAAACUUUGCCAGACAUCUUUUUAAUUCCUCAAGUUCCAUUGCUCCAGAGUUGGUCACUUCAUUGGACUGUUUAACAUAAUUAUAUUCCAAAUCCAUGCAGCUAUAUGACCCAUACUUGGCACAAUAUCCAGGAAAUCACAUCUUCCAUCUCUUCCAAGAAGAUGCUUUUGGUGCAUAUGCCAAACAAUUGAAACACAGCAGGGGUAUCAAAUGCU